CUUCUUUGUCUGUCUGAAGCCGAGCAGAUGCAAGCGACCCCAGUGUCACCGUUAUGAUGCCUCAGGAUAUGAGAGAUAUUUCUGCGCAAAUAGCAGAAAAUAUGAGAGCUAUCUCCGCCCAUACUUCGGCUCUGGAGCAUAUAAAUUGCUUGGCACUAUUCCAAAAAUCAUUCAGCUGUGAACAAACUUCCAUCAGUUUCAAACAAUUGCUCUAUAACUUGUUCGGCAAUAUUCAAGAUGGCACAGGAACGUCAUAGUAAGUACAAAUUUUAAAGAUUAAUUUAUGCUUUUAAGAAUGUAAAAAAUGUACAGCUGAUUACAAUUGAUAAAUAGGUUUAUAAUUUCACAGAUGUGCAAAGACAAUAUGGUGUGGAAUAUUCUGCAUUCGACGAAAUAGAUCAUUCUGCAAGAGCUGCAUUAGUCGACGUCUGUGGAGAAGAAUUUUUGGAGCU